rnacentral:rRNA from 1 species
GAUGAACGCUGGCGGCGUGCCUAAUGCAUGCAAGUCGAGCGAACAGAUAAGGAGCUUGCUCCUUUGACGUUAGCGGCGGACGGGUGAGUAACACGUGGGUAACCUACCUAUAAGACUGGAAUAACUCCGGGAAACCGGGGCUAAUGCCGGAUAACAUUUAGAACCGCAUGGUUCUAAAGUGAAAGAUGGUUUUGCUAUCACUUAUAGAUGGACCCGCGCCGUAUUAGCUAGUUGGUAAGGUAACGGCUUACCAAGGCAACGAUACGUAGCCGACCUGAGAGGGUGAUCGGCCACACUGGAACUGAGACACGGUCCAGACUCCUACGGGAGGCAGCAGUAGGGAAUCUUCCGCAAUGGGCGAAAGCCUGACGGAGCAACGCCGCGUGAGUGAUGAAGGUCUUCGGAUCGUAAAACUCUGUUAUUAGGGAAGAACAAAUGUGUAAGUAACUGUGCACGUCUUGACGGUACCUAAUCAGAAAGCCACGGCUAACUACGUG